UGCGCUUCGAGCGAGGUCAACGCCGUGGCCAAGUUCGACCGGGACACGCUCGAGCCUCGCGGGGUGGUCAAGCCCUUCGGCCCCGUCAAGGUGGGGGGCGCGGAGCCCGCCCUCGUCGUCACUCCGGCGCACUU
rnacentral:SRP_RNA from 1 species